GUGCUUUCUGGCAUUCUACUAGGCUGGUCGAUCGACCUGAGCGUACAUCGCACAACAAAAAAAAAAAAAAAAAAAAAAAAAAUUUUUC
rnacentral:ribozyme from 1 species